rnacentral:rRNA from 1 species
UACGUAGGGUGCAAGCGUUUGUCCGGAAUUAUUGGGCGUAAAGAGCUUGUAGGCGGUUUGUCGCGUCUGCUGUGAAAAUCCGGGGCUCAACCUCGGACUUGCAGUGGGUACGGGGCAGACUAGAGUGUGGUAGGGGAGACUGGAAUUCCUGGUGUAGCGGUGGAAUGCGCAGAUAUCAGGAGGAACACCGAUGGCGAAGGCAGGUCUCUGGGCCAUUACUGACACUGAGAAGCGAAAAGCAUGGGGGAGCGAACAGG